GCGUCGGUGGUGCAACGGUUCAGCACAUGCUUUAGGAAAGAAAGAUCUGAGUUUCAAUCCCGGCUGACGCA